GAUGAACGCUAGCGGCAGGCUUAACACAUGCAAGUCGAGGGGUAUAGUUCUUCGGAACUAGAGACCGGCGCACGGGUGCGUAACGCGUAUGCAAUCUACCUUUUGCAGAGGGAUAGCCCAGAGAAAUUUGGAUUAAUACCUCAUAGUAUGUGAGAAUGGCAUCAUUUUCACAUUAAAGUCACAACGGCAAAAGAUGAGCAUGCGUCCCAUUAGCUAGUUGGUAAGGUAACGGCUUACCAAGGCAACGAUGGGUAGGGGUCCUGAGAGGGAGAACCCCCACGCUGGUACUGGGACACGGACCAGACUCCUACGGGAGGCAGCAGUGAGGAAUAUUGGACAAUGGGCGCAAGCCUGAUCCAGCCAUGCCGCGUGCAGGAUGACGGUCCUAUGGAUUGUAAACUGCUUUUGUACAGGAAGAAACACUGGUUCGUGAACCAGCUUGACGGUACUGUAAGAAUAAGGAUCGGCUAACUCCGUGCCAGCCGCCGCGGUAAGAC
rnacentral:rRNA from 1 species